rnacentral:rRNA from 1 species
UACGGAGGGUGCGAGCGUUGUCCGGAAUCAUUGGGCGUAAAGGGCGCGUAGGUGGCCCGGUCAGUUCGUGGUGAAAGCGCGGGGCUCAACCCUGCGUCGGCCAUGAAUACUGCCGCGGCUGGAGCACUGUAGAGGCAGGCGGAAUUCCGGGUGUAGCGGUGGAAUGCGUAGAGAUCCGGAAGAACACCGGUGGCGAAGGCGGCCUGCUGGGCAGUUGCUGGACACUGAGGCGCGACAGCGUGGGGAGCAAACAGGG